GCCUAGGUAGCAUAACGGUAAUGCACUCGAUUGAAGCUCUUGGGACUGAUGGGUUCGACUCCCUCCUUAGGCA